AAUACUCUGAUAAUACUUAAUUCCUACUCUUUCCCUGGUCCCGUCCCCUCCCUCCGACGUGUGUGUGUGUGUGUGUGUGUGUGUAUAUGUGUGUAUAUAUAUAUAUAUAUAUAUAUAUAUAUAUAUAUAUAUAUGUAUGUAUGUAGAUAUAUACAAACACACACACCCUCCCUCCACUUUAACAUACGCUCUUGAACAAGACACAGCAGAGGCAAAGUAAAGGCCUACACAGCAAAUGCCAAACUGCUACUAGAGUACCAAACUGAGAUUUAACUGCUACCAUAGAGCAAUACAAAAUAAGUACUACUGUACUUCCUGCAUGGAGAAAUAUUUGCCAAGUUAUUGAGAUAAGAUAAGAGUCUGAAAAAAAUUAAUUCUAUUUCACGAAACUGAGAAAAUAAUCAAUACAAUGUAAAUAUGGAUAUAUAAAAGACUCUUAAUACAAUUAAGAGGGAGGCUGCUGAGGGAAUAUGAACUAAAGGAAUACUCAGAGGACACACUAUAAUUAGUAUUUCUUUUUUUAUUACAAAAACAAAACUGCAGAACAAUAGUUAAAGAGAAAAAUAUGUUCCCUUUUAAAGUUUAACGUACUGUACUUGCCCAAGCACGCAGCAGCAUUUUUAUUAAUGUGACACUGCCACAUCCCAGGAUUUUUAUUAUGUAUAUGUAUCUCUAUAUUUAACAAAUGUGUCCCCUUUUAGACCAGGAAGAGGCUCCACCAAUCACGAGCCUCUAGUAAUUGCCUCCAGGUUCUGAUCUUACCCCAUUAACACUUGCUGUCUUCCAGUGCUUUAUGGCAUAUAUAGUUUGUUCCUUAACAGCUAUUCCACUCAUUACCUCAAAAUUUGACCUUCUGCAGGAGGGUCCACUUGUAUUGUGUCUAUUUCUAUGGCUAGAAGAUGGACAGCUACAGACAGUGUUGGGGGGUGAAACUUGGGGGCAGGAGGAUUGGAAUCUCCUCUUCAUGUUUGUCUACCUAUACCUCAUCUGCCCCAAAUCAAGUGUACUGUUAAGGUUAAAAGUUAAGGGACCACUGUUAAAUGUCCCUUUUUAUUUAUUUAUUUUGUGUCCUCCAGCAUAUAUUUUGGGGGAUCAGCUGGAAGCGUACGUGGUGUCAGGGAUAAAAGGAGUCAUUGACAAGUCUUGUUUUCUUGAAAUCUUGAGACUAUAUUUUGUUUUAUAGUAUUAAUGUUUUUAUUUAUUCAUGUAUUUGAGAGAGUCUAGAACAAUCUGUCACACGGGUUUCUAAUGCUAGAACAAGUAAAAGGCUGUGCUUGUGGACAAAGAAGAAGGAACCAUAGAGUUUCUGAGCUUAGAACGAGCAAACAAACAAACAUAAUUUUGGUUGUGAGCCUAGAACAAAUUUAUUUUUAUCUUUAGAAAUCCAAGUAGAGAUUGUAGCCAUAUUAGUGCAGUGAUGCAGUAAAAAAAAACAGAUAAAAUUUGUAUCUUGUAAUACCCUUUUUUAUUUUUAAUCGCUCACAAAUGCUUUAGACUUGAGCAAGGGAGGUUCUCCCGAAAGCUUAUUUUUAGAAAUCCAUGUAACCAUCAAUGGUAGAUGGUACUUACAGUGUCAACAAAUGAAGAAUACAGUAAAAGAUAUAUGAUUCAGUCUAAUGCAGGGCUUGGAUUUUCAAUACCUCCCUCAAAACUUGACAAUAUUACAAACAGAAUGCAACCGGAUACAUAGAAACUAAAUUAGACAAAUUCAACUGUGACAAUCCUAAUGCUGGCAUACAAACCAACUGUGGCUUUGUCAAUACAUGUUUUGUGUGUGUAUAAAGAAUGCCGGGUGUCAAUUCUUUCAGAGCUUCGAGAAUAAGCGUGUAAGAGAGACUCAGAAAUAUUGUACCUGACAGAAUGAAUAAAAUUGCAACUUUAAAACCA